rnacentral:tRNA from 2 species
GACGAGGUGGCCGAGUGGUUAAGGCGAUGGACUGCUAAUCCAUUGUGCUCAGCACACGUGGGUUCGAAUCCCAUCCUCGUCG